GACGAACGCUGGCGGCGUGCUUAACACAUGCAAGUCGAACGGAAAGGCCCUGCUUUUGUCGGGUGCUCGAGUGACGAACGGGUGAGUAACACGUGAGUAACCUGCCCUUGACUUUGAGAUAACUUCAGGACACUGGUGCUAAUACCGGAUAGGAGCUCCUUCUGCAUGGUGGGGGUUGGAAAGAUUCGGCGGUUGGGGGUGGGCUCGGGGCUUAUCAGCUUGUUUGUGGGGUAGUGGCUUACCAAGGCUUUGACGGGUAGCCGGCCUGAGAGGGUGACCGGCCACAUUGGGAAUGAGGUACGGGCCAGACCCCUACGGGAGGGAGGAGUGGGGAAUAUUGCACAAUGGGAGGAAGACUGAUGCAGCAACGUCGCGUGCGGGAUGACGGCUUUCGGGUUGUAAACCGUUUUUGCAUUUGACGAAGAGUGAGUGACGGUAAUGGGUAAAGAAGCACCGGCUAAAUACGUG
rnacentral:rRNA from 1 species